CACAUUUCAUGAUUCCAUUUUGUGAAAUUCCAAGAAGAAGAAAAUCGAUAAGAGAAAAUAGAUUCCUGUGGCUGGGAGCAAGGUAAGGGGUAGGAGCAGAAGGGAAGAGCGAGUGCUGAUGUGCACAUGUUUCUUUCUGGAUCUGUGAGAAUGUUCCUCAGUUAGGUUGUGAUGAUGGCUUCACAGCACUGGUUUGUUCAAACAGAAACUGUGCAGUUCAUUCUUCUGCAGUUUUAUUGGUGCUUUAUACUUGUACAUAAUGAUGGGAUUUGUUGCUACAUAUUCAUGCAUGCACACCGCAUGACAAUGUAACAAUGGGUGAAUUUUAUGGUACAUGAACUCCAUGUCCAUAAAUCCAUGAAAGAAUUGUGGUCAUUGGGUAAGUUUAGCAGCAGACAAAAAGCAACUAUAUUGAAUGGGGCAAGAUAAGCCCUUUAAAUGAUGUCAGGUUCACAAGAAUCUCAAACACUGUGAUCAUGUUCACAGUCCUCUGCCCUGCUCCAGAGCUGACUACCUCAAUAACACCCACCCAUCUUCAUGUCCCUAUUAACAUUUGAUUUCCAUGGGGAAUUCUCCUUAAUCAUCCUAAUCCCACAGAACAAAUCUUAAUAUGCCUCCAGGACUCAUCCUCAGAACCCUCCAUUUUUGUUUUAUUGUUACAAUGUGCCUACAGUGUGUAUCCUCCAGGAGGUGAGACUUGGGAGAUAUACAACCGUGUUUACUUUCUUGGUAACUUCAGAGCCAGACAGAAAGCCUACCACCCAGACACUCAACGUUUGUUGAGGAAAGGGAGGAAGAGAUCGAAAUAACUGCUCUCUGUCUUCAAGGACCAAUGCACUUAUUCUCUCUCUUUGUUAAUUUCUCAUUUGUUCUUUUUAGAUAUACAUGGCAGUAGAGUGUACUGUGACAUAUCACACAUACAGGGAGUCUGGCUUCCCCUCCUUGUGGUUGUGCAUGUGUGGAGUGAAACUGGUCGCGG
rnacentral:lncRNA from 1 species